rnacentral:rRNA from 1 species
AUUGAACGCUGGCGGCAUGCUUUAUACAUGCAAGUCGAACGGCAGCGCGGGCUUCGGCCUGGCGGCGAGUGGCGAACGGGUGAGUAAUGCAUCGGAACGUGCCCAGUAGUGGGGGAUAGCCCGGCGAAAGCCGGAUUAAUACCGCAUACGACCUGAGGGUGAAAGCGGGGGACCGAAAAGCCUCGCGCUAUUGGAGCGGCCGAUGUCGGAUUAGCUAGUUGGUGGGGUAAAGGCUUACCAAGGCGACGAUCCGUAGCUGGUCUGAGAGGACGACCAGCCACACUGGGACUGAGACACGGCCCAGACUCCUACGGGAGGCAGCAGCGGGGAAUUUUGGACAAUGGGGGCAACCCUGAUCCAGCCAUGCCGCGUGCGGGAAGAAGGCCUUCGGGUUGUAAACCGCUUUUGUUCGGGAAGAAAUCCUCUGGGCUAAUACCCCGGGGGGAUGACGGUACCGGAAGAAUAAGCACCGGCUAACUACGUG